rnacentral:rRNA from 1 species
UUCUGGCUCAGGAUGAACGCUAGCUACAGGCUUAACACAUGCAAGUCGAGGGGCAGCAUGUGGUUGCUUGCAACCAAUGAUGGCGACCGGCGCACGGGUGAGUAACGCGUAUCCAACCUUCCCUAUAGUAGAGGAUAGCCCGGCGAAAGUCGGAUUAAUACUCUAUGUUUUCCAAUGCAGACAUCUAAGUUGGAACAAAGGUUCACCGCUAUAGGAUGGGGGAUGCGUCUGAUUAGAUAGUCGGCGGGGUAACGGCCCACCGAGUCGACGAUCAGUAGGGGUUCUGAGAGGAAGGUCCCCCACAUUGGAACUGAGACACGGUCCAAACUCCUACGGGAGGCAGCAGUGAGGAAUAUUGGUCAAUGGGCGAGAGCCUGAACCAGCCAAGUAGCGUGCAGGAUGACGGCCCUAUGGGUUGUAAACUGCUUUUAUACAGGGAUAAAGUGACGUACGUGUACGUUUUUGUAGGUACUGUAUGAAUAAGGACCGGCUAAUUCCGUGCCAGCCGCUGC